GACGAAUGCUGGCGGCGUGCUUAACACAUGCAAGUCGAACGGAAAGGCCCUGCUUGCAGGGUACUCGAGUGGCGAACGGGUGAGUAACACGUGGGUGAUCUGCCCUGCACUUCGGGAUAAGCCUGGGAAACUGGGUCUAAUACCGGAUAGGAGCCAUUUUUAGUGUGAUGGUUGGAAAGUUUUUUCGGUGUAGGAUGAGCUCGCGGCCUAUCAGCUUGUUGGUGGGGUAAUGGCCUACCAAGGCGGCGACGGGUAGCCGGCCUGAGAGGGUGGACGGCCACAUUGGGACUGAGAUACGGCCCAGACUCCUACGGGAGGCAGCAGUGGGGAAUAUUGCACAAUGGGCGCAAGCCUGAUGCAGCGACGCCGCGUGGGGGAUGACGGCCUUCGGGUUGUAAACUCCUUUCGCUAGGGACGAAGCUUUUGUGACGGUACCUGGAUAAGAAGCACCGGCUAACUACGUG
rnacentral:rRNA from 1 species